rnacentral:rRNA from 1 species
GACGAACGCUGGCGGCGUGCUUAACACAUGCAAGUCGAACGGAAAGGCCCUGCUUGCAGGGUACUCGAGUGGCGAACGGGUGAGUAACACGUGGGUUAUCUGCCCUGCACUUCGGGUUAAGCCUGGGAAACUGGGUCUAAUACCGGAUAGGAGCCAUUUUUAGUGUGAUGGUUGGAAAGUUUUUUCGGUGUAGGAUGAGCUCGCGGCCUAUCAGCUUGUUGGUGGGGUAAUGGCCUACCAAGGCGGCGACGGGUAGCCGGCCUGAGAGGGUGGACAGCCACAUUGGGACUGAGAGACGGCCCAGACGCCUACGGGAGGCAGCAGUGGGGAAUAUUGAACAAGGGGCGCAAGCCUGAUGCAGCGACGCCGCGGGGGGGAUGACGGCCUUCGGGUUGUAAACUCCUUUCGCUAGGGACGAAGCUUUUUGUGACGGUACCUAGAUAAGAAGCACCGGCUAACUACGUG